CUGCCUGGCCGUGGGGUCGAGGGGCGGCACUGAGAUUCGCGAAGGCUUUGUGGGUUCGUCCUGGUCAGGGUGCGGUGUGUGUCCAGCACAGGGGAACAUCGGGGCACCGUGAGUGAGCAGGGAAGGCCGGCUGUUGAGUGGCAUUCGUUUUCACAGACGAAGCUCAUCGGUCCGGUUAGACACCCCCGCCAAGCGGCUCUUCCUUGUCCUUUAUCCUGGAGCGGGCUGAAAACGGGCCACGGGACGUGAGAGAUGCUGCGAGCGCGGCUGGACCACCCCGGGAUGCCGUUCCCGUCGGGAGGGCUGCACUGCCACGGGCACCUGCCUUUUCUCCCUGGAAGGCGUAAAGUGGCAGGUGCUCCCGAGGGCGUAGACAACCUUUUCACGUAUGCCAAGAGCCACCUGCCGCUUCAGAUCUAUAUAAAGAAUAUGCCUGCCCUGCAGCCAGCAGAGAAGUACAGAGGGAGUCAAGCUAUCCACACAGUUGGGCUUGUUUAUAUCAAGCAAUCUGGUAGCAGCAGCAUGGUGCCCUAUGUGAGUCAAGAUAAAAAUUCAUUGCUAAAAGACCUCAUGACUUUGGCCUGUCAUCUGCAAAAUGUUGCUGGAUUAUUGCUGCAGUACAGUGAACUGUUCCAGUUGAAAAGGUAUUGUCUCUAGAUUCAUAGAGAGAAGAAUUGUGGAUUACCGCCACUUUGCAUUACAUGCUUUAGAAAAUACUGUGAUGUAUUAAAGCUUACUAGCCUUCUUUAGGGCUGAUUUAUCUAAAUACCCAGUUGCAAAUGUCACAUUAGUUUGUGGAAAAAUUUAGAGGUUCAAAAUAAAUGUUUCACUUUUUCAGUUCUUUGGCUUUCA
ensembl:lncRNA